rnacentral:rRNA from 1 species
UACGUAGGGGGCUAGCGUUGUCCGGAAUCAUUGGGCGUAAAGCGCGUGUAGGCGGCCCGGUAAGUCCGCUGUGAAAGUCGGGGGCUCAACCCUCGGAUGCCGGUGGAUACUGUCGGGCUCGAGUACGGAAGAGGCGAGUGGAAUUCCUGGUGUAGCGGUGAAAUGCGCAGAUAAUCAGGAGGAACACCUAUUGCGAAGGCAGCUCGCUGGGACGUCACUGACGCUGAGACGCGAAAGCGUGGGGAGCAA